CUCGGCGCCAUUUUGUCUGGGCAGCGGUGGCCGCAGCUCUACAGCAUUUUAUGUUUCUGGCGAGACGAGAGCGGAAUGUUCAUACCGUGGAUUCAUGUAAGUGCGGCAGCCAUCCACCGUUCCCUCCAGGACAGCACCUAGUGAAGAUCGGAAGAGUAGCGAUCUGUCAGAAAGGUCAGUUGGAAGCGGUAGUUGUCCGGUGGACUGGGGGAUGGCGCAGCUCUAGCGGCACCGGCACCGGAAGUGAGGGGGCCGCGCGGCAGCCAUAGCAGAUUGGUCUGAAGAAAGGAAGACAGUUAAGUGACAAACUUCCGGAAGUAUUACUGAGUCUUUGUCUUCUAGAGGAAGCCUCACUUUGUGGAAUAAUGAAGGAAAGUGUUCUAGUUUUUAAAUGGCUUGGAUCUGCUCUCUGUUGAAAUUGUAUUUCUGCUCCCUGGCUCUUUGUCCACCCUCAUGUUGGAAAUGGUGAGAGAACUGAUGCUGAAUCAUAAGUAUGAUCCAUUGUAGACAACUAAAUUUUUGCAUUGAAUCUUUACUAUCACUUGGUUGCUGCUCUUAAACCAGUCGGUCUACUAAAGGUUCCUUUGAGAAUGAUAGAAAUGAAAGCAAAGGGAUAGUCUUACCAGAUAAGUGCUUUUUUAUCUGAAUGUAUUCGGUUUUUCCAUAAGGUGGCUUUAGUAUCACUUAGUUGUCUUUAACUUCAUUCGAAACAAUUUUGUUAGAUUGUAUUGUGACAGUUGUCAUAUCAGCGUACAUUUUUUAAAAAAGCAUCAAAAUUGGUGAAUUUUUGUGUAGCCAUUUUAAUAUUGACGAUGAAGGGAAAAAAGCAACAACAGCAUGUUAUGCUUUAUUAUUUCAAGAAAGGUAAAAACACAACUGAAAGGCAAAAAACGAUUGGUGCAGUGUAUGGAAAAGGUGCCGUGACUGAACACGUCAAAAGUGGUUUGCAAAGUUUUGUGGUAGAGAUUUCUGGCUGGACAGUGCUCCAUGGUCGGGGAGACCAGUUCAAGUUGAUAGCAAUCAAAUCGAGACGUAAAUUUUAGUUCAAGUUGAUAGCAAUCAAAUUGAGACGUAAAUUUCAGAACAAUCAACGUUAUACCACUCAGGCCGACACAUUCAAAAUCUUCAAAUCAGGUGUUGAAAAUCAUUUGCACCAGCUUGGUUAUGUUAAUCGCUUUGAUGUUUGGGUUCCACAUCAAGCGAAAGAAACCUUCUUGACCAUAUUUCUGCACUGCGAUUCUCUACUUACACAACGAAAACAAUCCAUUUUUAAAAACAAAUUGUGAUGGGCAGUGAAAAUUGGAUAUUGUACAAUAAUGUGGAAUAGAAGAGAUGUUAUGGAAGAACCCGAACGAACUUUUUUGGCCAACCCAAUAUUAUUUGUAAUCUCUAAACCAAAACUUUAUUCUUUAAAACGUUUGUAAUUUUCUUUCCUAGGUACCUACCAGUAUCGAGGUUUACAGUAAUAAGGUAUUCAGUCUUUGCUGAAAAUAAAUUUGUAAUCUUGUCAAAGUAAAAUGUGCCAGCCAUUUUUUUCCCCCAGAGGCUAAUCUUGCCUCAGUGGUUCAGUUACGAAGUGCCCCUACAGUUGAACCAAGAUUAUUUAUUAAUCCUUUAUAUAGUAUGUAUGAAAAUCAAUUGCUUUUCUUUUCUAACAGCUGAGAAGCUUAGUUUUAGAUUUAUCUGAUAUAUGUUUUUGAGGUGGCUUAGUUGCUCAGAUUGAAGUUUCUUUAGAACCAUUGUCUGU